rnacentral:rRNA from 1 species
UUCGAUUCUGGCUCAGGAUUAACGCUGGCGGCGUGCCUAAUACAUGCAAGUCGAAUGGUAGUAGCAAUACAAACCAUGGCGAACGGGUGAGUAACACGUAGGUAACCUGUCUUUAAGACGAGGAUAACCAUUGGAAACGAUGGAUAAUACUGGAUAGGACAUCACAAAGGGCAUCCUUAGAUGUUUAAAGAUUAUUAUGUCACUUAGAGAGGGGCCUGCGGCGCAUUAGCUAGUUGGUGAGGUAAAAGCCCACCAAGGCGAUGAUGCGUAGCCGGACUGAGAGGUUGAACGGCCACAAUGGAACUGAGAACGGUCCAUACUCCUACGGGAGGCAGCAGUAGGGAAUUUUCGGCAAUGGGCGCAAGCCCUGACCGAGCAACGCCGCGUGAACGAAGAAGUUAUUCGUAAUGUAAAGUUCUUUUAUCUGGGAAGAAAAAACAAAUUGACGGUACCAGAUGAAUAAGCUCCGGCUAACUACGUGCCAGCCGCCGC